ACUUAAGCCGUUAGGUGUAGGCGCAGCGAAAGCGAGUCUGAAUAGGGCGAAUAAGUACGUCGCAUGACGACCCGAAACCAGGUGAUCUAUCCAUGAGCAGGUUGAAGGCUGGGUAACACCAGCUGGAGGACCGAACCCGUGAAUGUUGAAAAAUUCUGGGAUGACUUGUGGAUAGGGGUGAAAGGCCAAUCAAACCUGGACAUAGCUGGUUCUCCGCGAAAACUAUUUAGGUAGUGCGUCAGACGAAUUCCUUAGGGGGUAGAGCACUGGAUGGAUGCGGGCGGCGCGAGCUGUACCAAUUCUAACCAAACUCCGAAUACCUAAGAGAACUAUCUGGCAGACACACGGCGGGUGCUAACGUCCGUCGUGAAAAGGGAAACAACCCUAACCAUCAUCUAAGGCCCCCAAGUAACGGCUAAGUGGGAAACGAUGUGGGAUUGCUUUGACAACCAGGAUGUUGGCUUAGAAGCAGCCAUCAUUUAAAGAAAGCGUAACAGCUCACUGGUCAAGCGAUCCUGCGCGGAAAAUGUAACGGGGC
rnacentral:rRNA from 1 species